UGCGAGAGUUGGUGGAAGCGGGGGGACACUGUCCUAAGCUGGAAAGUGCAGGCUUCACCAUGUCGUCCUCCAAAACCCCAAGCAUGUCAACUCCCCCAACACGACGGUUUCACCGUCGCAAGAUUUCCGUGGAGGUGGGAUCCGAGGUGGCGAAGCACCUGGACCGCGGGAGCACACAUCACCACUCGGUGCGGCUCGGCAGUUCAGACAAUCUCCAUUCUCCACGAGUCUGAGCGGUGGCGUAACUUAAUUUUAGGGGUUAGCGUAGAGUGCGGGGAGGUGUUUCGAAGCCAGCAACACAAUCGACAACAAACAUGGUGAGCUACGUGAGCACCUCCCUUUCAGCCAGACGCGCAAUCCAAAAUCCAGCCCGGGCAGCGCCUUUCAGGAGCAGGUGUCCAACUCUGACGACGAUGCAGACACGCCAAAGCCCGGGCAGGUGGAGAGGCCGUCUCCUCGGAGAGAGAGCCCUGCCCCUCACCCCCUCGCCACGGGGGAGGGCAGCUCUCAAAGGCGAGAUAAGCAGAAUUCCACAUGGCGACUGGCCACCGCGUGGCCAGGGGUGAGGAGUCACCUGAGACACGGGACUGAGUCCUGAACAAGUGAGGGGAGUUGAUCUCUUUCUAAUUUGACCCUGGGGGUGUCCAGCAGGCUCGUUGUACUGACUUAACGCUGCCAGCCAUCUUGCCAUAUUCCCAACACUGUUCUCCAAACGUCCUAGGAUUUCACUGGGUCCUUUCCCCAACUGGUGACACCUUCUGGUCACUGAAAACGUUCAGCCAUCAGAAGAGGAUCCCUUUGGGAUCUCCUGCCUCACACAUGAGCCCAGGUGCUCUGCCCCUGCCCCUGAUCACCGUGCUCCCCUCCACCUGGCACCACACCCACCCGCCCGUGAUCACCGUGCUCCUUUCUACCUGGCACCACACUCACCUGCCCGUGGUCACCGUGCUCCCCUCCACCUGGCACCACACCCACCUGGCAGUUAGACAUCUGUGAGUGAUUCUCUCUAAGCCUUUCUCAUCAGCACAUAAACAUGCUCUCUCACCUGUACACACCAGGCCACGUGUGUGCAUAUGGGAUCCAGCGCUCCAUGCCAGCCUUCUCCCCAUUUCUCUCCUUGCCUUUGAGAAACCUCUCCUAAUGUCCUCCUCCCAUUCUCUAGUGACAUUCCAGUUGUCCCCAAAGGGCCGGCCUGAAUGACCGAUGUGUUGCUGCCUCCAGCGACCAGCUCUGUCUUCCUCCCAGGUGCCGCAUGUGACGCAGGAACUCCAUCCCUGCUCCUGAAAAACUCUCUGAAUUGGCUGCUAUGAGGGAUGCUAAUCUUACCUACCUCAGCCAGCCUGUAGACUUUCUACGCAUGCUGCCGGCUAGUCCUCGUCUGCUUUGCAGGGAAGAAAACAUCUGAAAGAUCACAUUAACUUCUGAAUUGAGAAUCACUUUUGCAAAUUAAAAUGGCCAUAAAACUCCCUGGUCGCUUUCAGGAGAAAUUCUUAGAUCCUGAUGGAGUUUUUAUCAGCAGCUUGGGGAAAGCUUCUCCCACUGAUGAACAUUUUAUGAUGACAAUAACAGAGGAAGGUAAGAUUGAAGUUCGAGGAGACUCCGUGAGUCACACUGCUCCAUUACUGUUCACCCCCAACCUGUAUCCUUGUGGUAAAGUAAGGACAGACCCAGAACAUCACAUAGUUAAUACGCGCCCAGGAUGGGACCAGAGACUCAACUUGGUUCCUCGUUCUGAUUCCGCCCCGUCCUCCAGGACAUCUCCCGGCUCCAAGGCAGGGGAUGAGACUCCUGUCAUUCUGCGCAGCCUAGCCUCUGUCUGCACACUGAUAGCAUCGAUUGCUUUCAGCCUGGGGUGGGUUGUGCUGAUAAAUUGAUCUGUCAGCUUGACCAGGCCACCGUGUCGAGGUUUGCUCAAACACAAGUCUGGAUAUUGCUAGGAUGACAUUCUUCAGACAUGAUUAAUACAUCAAUCAGUAGACUUUCUGGAAAACAGAGCGAGAUGAUCCUCAGUCAUGUGGGCGGACUGCAUCCAAUCAGUUGAAGGACUUAAGGGCAAGACUGCGGUUUCCAAAAGAAGGAGGAAUUCUGCCUCAGGACUGUGGCACAGAAACCUGCCUGAGCCCCUGGCCCUCAGUCCUGCUGAUUUCAGGCUGGGACUGCACACAGCACCAGCUCCUUACAUCUCCCUCCGGCCAGCCAGCUCCACAGACUUCAGACUUCCUGCCCCCAUGACCAGGUGGGCCAAUUCCUUAAAAUAAA